rnacentral:tRNA from 1 species
ACCUGGGUGGCUCAGUGAGUUAAGUGUCUGACUUUGGCUCAGAUCAUGAUUUCAUGGUUCGUGGGUUCGAGCCCCACAUCAGGCU